UACGUAGGUGGCAAGCGUUGUCCGGAUUUAUUGGGUUUAAAGGGUGCGUAGGCGGCCUAUUAAGUCAGUGCUGAAAUAUCCCGGCUUAACCGGGAGGGUGGCAUUGAUACUGAUGGGCUUGAGUAGAGUCGAGGUUGGCGGAAUUGACGGUGUAGCGGUGAAAUGCUUAGAUAUCGUCAAGAACACCUAUUGCGAAGGCAGCUAACUAAGCUCAAACUGACGCUGAGGCACGAAAGUGUGGGGAUCAAACAGG
rnacentral:rRNA from 1 species